rnacentral:rRNA from 1 species
AGCGAACGCUGGCGGCAGGCUUAACACAUGCAAGUCGAACGGGCACUUCGGUGCUAGUGGCAGACGGGUGAGUAACGCGUGGGAACGUACCUUUCGGUUCGGAAUAAUCCAGGGAAACUUGGACUAAUACCGGAUACGCCCUUCGGGGGAAAGAUUCAUCGCCGAUAGAUCGGCCCGCGUCUGAUUAGCUAGUUGGUGAGGUAAUGGCUCACCAAGGCGACGAUCAGUAGCUGGUCUGAGAGGAUGAACAGUCACAUUGGGACUGAGACACGGCCCAAACUCCUACGGGAGGCAGCAGUGGGGAAUAUUGGACAAUGGGCGCAAGCCUGAUCCAGCCAUGCCGCGUGAGUGAUAAAGGCCUUAGGGUUGUAAAGCUCUUUUGGCGGGGAAGAUAAUGACGGUACCCGCAGAAUAAGCUCCGGCUAACUUCGUGCCAGCAGCCGCCGUAAUAC